rnacentral:rRNA from 1 species
GAUGAACGCUAGCGGCAGGCCUAAUACAUGCAAGUCGAACGAGAUUAAGAGGCUUGCUUCUUAUGAAAGUGGCGCACGGGUGCGUAACGCGUAUGCAACCUACCUUAAUCAGGGGGAUAGCCCGAAGAAAUUCGGAUUAAGACCGCAUAAAAACACAGGAUAGCAUUAUCCAAUGUUCAAAUAUUUAUAGGAUUAAGAUGUGCAUGCGUGUCAUUAGCUAGUUGGCGGGGUAACGGCCCACCAAGGCGACGAUGACUAGGGGAUCUGAGAGGAUGACCCCCCACACUGGUACUGAGACACGGACCAGACUCCUACGGGAGGCAGCAGUAAGGAAUAUUGGUCAAUGGAGGGAACUCUGAACCAGCCAUGCCGCGUGCAGGAAGACAGCCCUCUGGGUCGUAAACUGCUUUUAGUCGGGAAUAAACCUUUCUACGUGUAGGAAGCUGAAUGUACCGAAGGAAUAAGGAUCGGCUAACUCCGUG